UGCCAGCAGCCGCGGUAAUACGAAAGGGGCAAGCGUUGUUCGGAAUUACUGGGCGUAAAGCGCACGUAGGCGGCCUUGUAAGUUGGGGGUGAAAUCCCGGAGCUCAACUCCGGAACUGCCUCCAAAACUACAAAGCUAGAGGAUGUGAGAGGAUAGUGGAAUUCCGAGUGUAGAGGUGAAAUUCGUAGAUAUUCGGAAGAACACCAGUGGCGAAGGCGACUGUCUGGCACAUUUCUGACGCUGAGGUGCGAAGGCCAGGGUAGCGAAGCGGAUUAGAUA
rnacentral:rRNA from 1 species